rnacentral:rRNA from 1 species
UACGUAGGGGGCUAGCGUUGUCCGGAAUCAUUGGGCGUAAAGCGUGCGCAGGCGGUUAUGUAAGACAGAUGUGAAAUGCCCGGGCUUAACCUGGGAACUGCAUUUGUGACUGCAUGGCUAGAGUUUGGCAGAGGGGGGUAGAAUUCCACGUGUAGCAGUGAAAUGCGUAGAUAUGUGGAGGAACACCGAUGGCGAAGGCAGCCCCCUGGGUCAAGACUGACGCUCAUGCACGAAAGCGUGGGGAGCAAACAGG